UGGGGAAUUUUGGACAAUGGGCGAAAGCCUGAUCCAGCAAUGCCGCGUGUGUGAAGAAGGCCUUCGGGUUGUAAAGCACUUUUGUCCGGAAAGAAAUCCUUGGCUCUAAUACAGUCGGGGGAUGACGGUACCGGAAGAAUAAGCACCGGCUAACUACGUGCCAGCAGCCGCGGUAAUACGUAGGGUGCAAGCGUUAAUCGGAAUUACUGGGCGUAAAGCGUGCGCAGGCGGUUUGCUAAGACCGAUGUGAAAUCCCCGGGCUCAACCUGGGAACUGCAUUGGUGACUGGCAGGCUAGAGUAUGGCAGAGGGGGGUAGAAUUCCACGUGUAGCAGUGAAAUGCGUAGAGAUGUGGAGGAAUACCGAUGGCGAAGGCAGCCCCCUGGGGCCAAUACUGACGCUCAUGCACGAAAGCGUGGGGAGCAAACAGGAUUAGAUACCCUGGUAGUCCACGCCCUAAACGAUGUCAACUAGUUGUUGGGGACUUCAUUUCCUUAGUAACGUAGCUAACGCGUGAAGUUGACCGCCUGGGGAGUACGGUCGCAAGAUUAAAACUC
rnacentral:rRNA from 1 species